rnacentral:rRNA from 1 species
CAGCAGCCACGGUAAUACGAAGGGGGCUAGCGUUGUUCGGAUUUACUGGGCGUAAAGCGUACGUAGGCGGUUUUGUAAGUUAGAGGUGAAGGCCCGGAGCUCAACUCCGGAAUUGCCUUUAAGACUGCAUCACUUGAACGUCGGAGAGGUGAGUGGAAUUCCGAGUGUAGAGGUGAAAUUCGUAGAUAUUCGGAAGAACACCAGUGGCGAAGGCGGCUCACUGGACGACUGUUGACGCUGAGGUACGAAAGCGUGGGGAGCAAACAGGAUUAGAUACCCGCGUAGUCCCUGUCUCUUAUAC